GACGUAGGGGGCCAGCGUUGUUCGGAAUUACUGGGUGUAAAGGGUUCGUAGGCGGUGCGGCAAGUUGGGAGUGAAAUCUCUGGGCUUAACCCAGAGGCUGCUUCCAAAACUGCUGUGCUUGAGUGUGGGAGAGGCGCGUGGAAUUGCAGGUGUAGCGGUGAAAUGCGUAGAUAUCUGCAGGAACACCCGUGGCGAAAGCGGCGCGCUGGGCCGCUACUGACGCUGAGGAACGAAAGCUAGGGGAGCAAACAGG
rnacentral:rRNA from 1 species